rnacentral:rRNA from 1 species
AACCUUUACCAUGCACGCAAGUGUGAUAAGGGAAUCCCGAGUGCUCAUGCAUUGCAUGGGCUUUUGCCAAGAGUAAACACCUUGGCGAAUAAGUGGUGGGAAAGACUGGUGCCAGCCGCCGCGGUAACACCAGCGCCACAAGUGGUGACCAGUAUUAUUGGGCCUAAAGCGUCCGUAGCUGGCCGAGUAAAUCUUCUGUGAAAUCGUUCGGCUUAACCGAACGACGUGCAGGAGACACUGCUUGGCUAGGGACCGGGAGGAGCCAGAAGUAUUCCGUGGGGAGCGGUAAAAUGUUAUAAUCCUUGGAAGACUACCUGCGGCGAAGGCGUCUGGCUAGCACGGGUCCGACAGUGAGGGACGAAAGCUAGGGGAGCGAACCGG